UUAGGAGCCUGCUGAGCCUCCUAUUUGAGCAAUGAAAGGGCAAAACCCUAACCCUAACCCUAACCCUUUUUGCCCCAAAAGGAGUUUUUGAGUUCUACCAAGGACUAAUGGGAGCUGCAGUUGUUUUUGGCAAAGUUGGCUUUUGAAACACAGGAAGCGACCCUUUCACGGAGAGACUGCCCUAUUUGAGCAAUGAAAGGGCAAAAGUGGGUCCCUUUUUUCCCAAAAAGGAGUUUUUGAGUUCUACCAAGGACUAAUGGGAGCUGCAGUUGUUUUUGGCAAAGUUGGCUUUUGAAACACAGGAAGCGACCCUUUCACGGAGAGACUGCCCUAUUUGAGCAAUGAAAGGGCAAAAGUGGGUCCCUUUAUUCCCAAAAAGGAGUUUUUGAGUUCUACCAAGGACUAAUGGGAGCUGCAGUUGUUUUUGGCAAAGUUGGCUUUUGAAACACAGGGUGCGACCCUUUCACGGAGAGACUGCCCUAUUUGAGCAAUGAAAGGGCAAAAGUGGGUCCCUUUUUUCCCAAAAAGGAGUUUUUGAGUUCUACCAAGGACUAAUGGGAGCUGCAGUUGUUUUUGGCAAAGUUGGCUUUUGAAACACAGGAAGCGACCCUUUCACGGAGAGACUGCCCUAUUUGAGCAAUGAAAGGGCAAAAGUGGGUCCCUUUUUUCCCAAAAAGGAUUUUAGAGUUCUGCCAAGGACUAAUGGGAGCUGCAGUUGUUUUUGGCAAAGUUGGCUUUUGAAACACAGGAAGCGACCCUUUCACGGAGAGACUGCCCUAUUUGAGCAAUGAAAGGGCAAAAGUGGGUCCCUUUUUCCCCAAAAAGGAGUUUUUGAGUUCUACCAAGGACUAAUGGGAGCUGCAGUUGUUUUUGGCAAAGUUGGCUUUUGAAACACAGGAAGCGACCCUUUCACGGAGAGACUGCCCUAUUUGAGCAAUGAAAGGGCAAAAGUGGGUCCCUUUUUCCCCAAAAAAGAUUUUAGAGUUCUGCCAAGGACUAAUGGGAGCUGCAGUUGUUUUUGGCAAAGUUGGCUUUUGAAACACAGGAAGCGACCCUUUCACGGAGAGACUGCCCUAUUUGAGCAAUGAAAGGGCAAAAGUGGGUCCCUUUUUUCCCAAAAAGGAUUUUUUGAGUUCUACCAAGGACUAAUGGGAGCUGCAGUUGUUUUUGGCAAAGUUGGCUUUUGAAACACAGGGUGCGACCCUUUCACGGAGAGACUGCCCUAUUUGAGCAAUGAAAGGGCAAAAGUGGGUCCCUUUUUUCCCAAAAAGGAUUUUUUGAGUUCUACCAAGGACUAAUGGGAGCUGCAGUUGUUUUUGGCAAAGUUGGCUUUUGAAACACAGGAAGCGACCCUUUCACGGAGAGACUGCCCUAUUUGAGCAAUGAAAGGGCAAAAGUGGGUCCCUUUUUGCCCCAAAAGGAGUUUUUGAGUUCUACCAAGGACUAAUGGGAGCUGCAGUUGUUUUUGGCAAAGUUGGCUUUUGAAACACAGGAAGCGACCCUUUCACGGAGAGACUGCCCUAUUUGAGCAAUGAAAGGGCAAAAGUGGGUCCCUUUUUUCCCAAAAAGGAUUUUUUGAGUUCUACCAAGGACUAAUGGGAGCUGCAGUUGUUUUUGGCAAAGUUGGCUUUUGAAACACAGGAAGCGACCCUUUCACGGAAAGACUGCCCUAUUUGAGCAAUGAAAGGGCAAAAGUGGGUCCCUUUUUUCCCAAAAAGGAUUUUUUGAGUUCUGCCAAGCACUAAUGGGAGCUGCAGUUAUUUUUGGCAAAGUUGGGUUUUGAAACACAGAAAGCGACCCUUUCACAGAGAGACUGCCCUAUUUGAGCAAUGAAAGGGCAAAAGUGGGUCCCUUUUUUCCCAAAAAGGAUUUUUUGAGUUCUACCAAGGACUAAUGGGAGCUGCAGUUGUUUUUGGCAAAGUUGGGUUUUGAAACACAGAAAGCGACCCUUUCACGGAGAGACUGCCCUAUUUGAGCAAUGAAAGGGCAAAAGUGGGUCCCUUGUUUCCCAAAAAGGAGUUUUUUGAGUUCUGCCAAGGACUAAUGGGAGCUGCAAUUCUUUUUGCCAAAGUUGGCUUUUUAUUCAGAGACCCUGGCACGGAGAAAAACAGCCCUGCAUGAGGCAAGGGCCAAAUCACCAGGCUCCCUUGUUUCCAAAAACCCUUUAGAAGAAAAAAAAGGCGCAGCAGAAUAAUUGCUGGCCGUGUGGGAAAAUUGCAAACGCCAAUCUCGUGAGGAAAAAAACACCCACAGGCCCUUUGCAAAAAAUUAUAAAACCAACACCCAACACCCAACAGUUUACCCACACCUCCAAAACUCACCCACCCAAAAUUUUCUCCCGGUCUUCAGCCUAGCUCAGCUCUAGAAAACAGCCAAGGAGGCUGUGACGCAGCAAAGUUUACUGCCUGCCUGCCUGCUACCCAAACUCCCUUCCACCCUCUUCAGAAUCCCCGGAGCGAAUGAGCCACGAGGCUGAGUGCAGCCUCUUUUCAUUCAGGACGUCCUACCAGCCCCUCCCCCUGGUUUAACGUGCUCUCUGAUUGGCCACAAGGUGCCAACAACACGCUAGGUUGCCCCAGUGCCAUUAAACAAGUUUGGGUGAUUUGCAAAAGCAUUUUUUAAAAACGAAAAAAAGGCGCCAUAACGGAAAACGGCCAAUCGCGGUUCGAAACCGCGAUAUCCAGGCGUCUGGACAACCAAGGUUCAAUAUUGCUUCAAAAUAAACGAAAAUAACGAAUCAAUAAUGGUAAACGGGGAAAACGAAUUAUUUGAGCAAGCCUAGCAUCUACAUGUCUGUGUCAUUGGGAUUUCAUUCCUUUUCUUUUCCGUUUGUAAGCCCACAACAACUUCUCCAUCACAUGUGUGUAUAAAUGUAUGUUUCAGGAGACUUAAAACAUAUUCAGUGUAGUCCGUAACAUUUGAAGUCCCAUUGUUCGCUCACUCACUCAGGUGGUAAAGGGGAACGAAGGAUAAGACAAAAGGGGCAGGAAAAGGGAGGGUGGGUGGUGCAUGGAUCUCUUGAGUGGAUGGAGAAAAAAAGAUGUGGAAGAAAUAAAGAGAGAGAUGGUGGGAAGGGGCUGGGCAGUGCCCUCAGCAGAUCUGGCCUUUAUUGGUAAUAUACAGUACAGUCUCGCUUAUCUAACGUAAACGGGCCGGCAGAAUGUUGUAUAAGCGAAUAUGUUGGAUAAUAAGGAGAGAUUAAGGAAAAGCCUAUUAAACAUUAAAUUAGGUUAUGAUUUUACAAAUUAAGCACCAAAACAUCAUGUUAUACAACAAAUUUGACAGAAAAAGUAGUUCAAUACACAUUAAUGCUAUAUAGUAAUUACUGUAUUUACGAAUUUAGCACCAAAAUAUCAUGAUAUAUUGAAAACAUUGACUACAUAAAUGCCUUGGAUAAUCCAGAACGUUGGAUAAGUGAGUGUUGGAUAAGUGAGACUCUACUGUAUAAACUUCUGUUAAGUUCAAACAUAUUGAUGCCAAUGUUGCGAGAAAGAAGAAGUAGAGCUUGGCUUAUUCAGGACUAUAUGAGCCCCUAUGAGUCUCCGAUCCAUCAAUGCCAAUGCAGGCUUAGAUUUCUUACCUCAACUCCACUCCUUGAUUCCAUCCUGAUCCCAAUUUGGGCACAGGACAUGCAAGAAAAAAACUGAUUUUUCCUAGGAACUGUGGGUUAAAAAGGAUUUUUUUUAUAAUCUCAUCAAAGCUCUUGAGCAUUCAAAAUAAAUCAGUGGUUAUUAGUUGCCACAACUACUGCACUUUAUCAUACUCCACUCUUAUUGAUUGAACUCUGUAAUGAGAUCCUUAAUUCCCUCUUGUAGAGUCUGUUGAAUUUUAUCUUAGUUUGUAUAUUAUGUUCAGACUCUAAUGUUCUAAUGUUUUGAUGUUGAUGUUUUAUGCUGGUUUGUAUGUUUAUACUAUUUUACCUGUUUUACGUUGGUUUAAUUAUGCUGUAUUUUAUUGUAUGUUGAAACUGGGCUUGUCCCCAUGUGAGCCGCCCCGAGUCCCCUCUGGGGAGAUGGGAGCGGGAUAUACAAAUAAAGUUAUUAUUAUUAUAUUAUUUAUUAUGUGGUUCCCAAUGGUUUUUUUUUUUUAAUCAGGGACCACUUUGACCAGGGACCACUCUCCAACAUUAGUACCAAAAGGGUUACGAAUCAGUUUUUGGUCAACUUUAGAUUUGGUUUGGUUAUUUGGAGUGCUGAUUCAGAAAAUUGCAUUGGAUAGACCAUAGUUUCUAAUACAGAACAUAUGCCAUCCAGUUUCUAGUUUCUAAUACAGAACAUAUGCCAUCCAGUAGUCGUCAACUGCUCACCCACAGAAAACCAUAUUUAAUAAUCUAGUGCUGAUGUGGUCUACCCAAUGCAAUUUUCUGAACCAGCACCACAAAUAACCCCAGAAACAGGCCUAAAAAUGAAGACACCAAGGUGCCCCCGCUUCCAGGUGCCACAUGGAAUGUCUCUGCUUGGGGAGGAAGGAGGAGGCGAAGCAGCAGUCAGGAGGUUUGUUGUCACACCUUUCAUGUGACAACAGGUUUGUUGUCACACCUUCCUGACAUCCCCAUUGCCUCUGCACUAUAAGAGGAUUUUGUGAGACCAGUCACUCUCAUUGCAACGAUUUAGUAACAGUGAGGCCACGGACCAUAUUUUAGUUCUUGGGGAACUCUGGUUGGGAACCAUUGAAAUAAAUGAUUCAACUUUGAAACCAAAAGAACCUUGUGUUUUCAAAUAGGGUCAGUAUUAAGGUAAGGACAAAUUAUUUUGCAAGUGUGGAUUCAGCUUGAGUCAGACAGAAGUAGGCCAUAGACUAUUAGGAAAUCUGGUGGGGGAUUGUGGCUGUUGGAAUAAUUUAUAAUGUUUCUUUUCUGUUGCUCAUUACACCCUAAGGUUAAAAGGAAACACAAAUAAACAGAAGAUUCAGUGGCACUGUGGCACUUUCAUAGCUUUCUCAGAUCCUCAUUAACACUUAGCCAGACUUUCCUGAAUGAUUUAAGAUGUGUUUGUAUUUGCUUUUUCUUAGAGGGCAAAUAGAAAUCUCAGUGGGGAGUCUUUUGCUACAUAAAAAUGCUACUGCCCUAUUGCAUUCAUUUUAAUAUGGAAAUAGAUUAUAGGUGUCCAGUUAAAUACUUUUUAAAAAAAGGAAAACACAUCACCAAACAAAAGAGUUUUAAAAACACACAACCCAGCUGUGCCUAAAAGUUUCAUAGGGAAAACAACUGCUUUGGGGGAGGGGAUAUUGAAAAGAUAUAAUAAAUCACCCCAAUAAUAGUCAAUUAUUCUGUAAAAUAUGCACAGUUCAAACUAAAAACAACAACAACAACAACAAAAACAGUGAUGGUGAAGGGUAUAAAUCUGUAGCUAAAAGAAGCAAGAUGGGUCUUGACUGGUCUUCAAUAAAGCCGAGGUCAAAUAAAUUUCAGCUGUGGGUAGUUAACAAGAAACCCUUGUGAACUUUAACUUUUGUUCUGUGAGGAUAGUAGGCUGUUAUAUUAAGCUUAGAACUUUAUAGUAUAAAGCCUCUAUUCCAUAGCAAUCACACAGUCUACCAAGUGCAGUUACAUAUCAUCAUGAACACCCCCAUUAUCAUAACACUCUCCAUUUGUCCAAUUACACUGAUUUACUGCUAUGUCCUACCACCCUUGGUACUUCUGCAUAAUCCCAUAACCCUGCUUUCCCCCAUUUCUGUUCUUCUAAUUUUAAAAAAAACAUUUUAAAGUAAUUUCACAGCUGCAAGUAUGGUUAAGUAAUUUUAAAAACCAUCAAAUACUACUGAUUUUUUGGGAGAAACAGAGGGAGGAAGACUAGUAGAGGAGAGACUUGCAAUGAAAUGUAAAAAGGAUAGUAUGGUAUGUAAUGUGUGAGUACUAUGUUAGUAAUAUAAUAUUUCUUCUAUAUAAACAACUUUUAGUGGCACUUGUUAUGCAAGCUGCCAAAGAAGGGGAUUAUGGUAUCUUAUUAAUAUCAAUCAAAAUUGGAUUUGAUUAGAAACAGUGGUAGAUCCUAGCCCUCUAGAAUCUCUUACAUUUACUGAUAGUAUAUAUUACAAUGAAUAUUUUACUUUAGGUAUCCACUACCUGUAUUUACUUUGUCUACAUUAGUAUGAUUCUUAACAUAAAUGGAAUACACUCAGCAACACUUACACAGGUAUUCUGGAAAAACUAUUCCUCUUUAUAGUUUCAGUGUCAGUUCUGUCAAAUAAAAAUCAAAACCAGACAAAGACUUUUGUGGAUUGAUAAAUUUAUUGAGGAAGCACAAAAGAUGUUCAGCAGCAGCUUCAAUGAAGAACAGUUGCUGAUGUCCAAAAUUCCAUCACAGAAAAAUUGCCAGAAAAAAGCAAUUUUUCAUCUCCUAAGCAUGAUCGGUUUUCCAAAAAGUGAUUGUCAAAAGAAAGGGUAACCAGACAUCGUAUUUUAAAUGAAGUCUGCAAAAACAAAAGAAAUCUGGACAUUACCAAAAGUGAUAAAAGGACUAUCUCACCUUGUUGCCACGUGACUAGGUCUUGGGCUACCAGUCAGCCAGGCUCUCGAAUGAUUCUCUUAAGAACGCUUCUGUUCCUUUAGCUAAAGAGUGGGUACCACUAAUAGAAAUCAGUGUUAACUUGGAGGUACAGUGCUGAAAUGCACCAAAAAACAACAUGUCACCCCCAGAAAAGAAGAUUACACUGACUAUCCCAUUGUCACCCCACCUCCAACAAUUUUAUCCUAAUUUUAGAAAUGUUUUAAUGAGAAUUUAAAGAUCUAAUAUGUUUGUAAUUAUCGUAUUUUAAAUGAAGUCUGCAAAAACAAAAGAAAUCUGGACAUUACCAAAAGUGAUAAAAGGACUAUCUCACCUUGUUGCCACGUGACUAGGUCUUGGGCUACCAGUCAGCCAGGCUCUCGAAUGAUUCUCUUAAGAACGCUUCUGUUCCUUUAGCUAAAGAGUGGGUACCACUAAUAGAAAUCAGUGUUAACUUGGAGGUACAGUGCUGAAAUGCACCAAAAAACAACAUGUCACCCCCAGAAAAGAAGAUUACACUGACUAUCCCAUUGUCACCCCACCUCCAACAAUUUUAUCCUAAUUUUAGAAAUGUUUUAAUGAGAAUUUAAAGAUCUAAUAUGUUUGUAAUUAUCGUAUUUUAAAUGAAGUCUGCAAAAACAAAAGAAAUCUGGACAUUACCAAAAGUGAUAAAAGGACUAUCUCACCUUGUUGCCACGUGACUAGGUCUUGGGCUACCAGUCAGCCAGGCUCUCGAAUGAUUCUCUUAAGAACGCUUCUGUUCCUUUAGCUAAAGAGUGGGUACCACUAAUAGAAAUCAGUGUUAACUUGGAGGUACAGUGCUGAAAUGCACCAAAAAACAACAUGUCACCCCCAGAAAAGAAGAUUACACUGACUAUCCCAUUGUCACCCCACCUCCAACAAUUUUAUCCUAAUUUUAGAAAUGUUUUAAUGAGAAUUUAAAGAUCUAAUAUGUUUGUAAUUAUGUGUAUUACGUCACAUUUGGUUUGCUUGAGUUGUUUUUGUCAUUACUGAGUUGUUUUGGGUUUGUUUGUAUAUUAUUGUUGGCAUUGAAUGUUUGCCACUGUGGGUGUACCGGGUGUGGCAUCAUGGCGACCGGUACUGUGUCCUGAGGGCUCUCAGGGCACCAGACUCUUCACAGACCGAGCGGGGGUUGGAUACACCCCUAACUUUGGACGGAUUGAGUUCCAGAGGCAGCUAAACCACCGCAGCCCAGUCGAGAGACCCGGAGGCUGCUCUCCCUCAAGGGGAGCGACCGAGAGGUCCGACAAGGGUGGUGGUAGCAGGUUUGAAGAGAUCAGAUGGGACGUUGUGGCCCUGAAACGGUCGCCGGCCACGCUUCCCAGAUUUGGAGACCUUGGCAAAGAAAUCUCACAAGAAAGGAUCGAUGCACAGUGUCCCAGUAUCGGACACAGAAACGAACGAAGAAAAAAGAAUAUAAGAUUAUAAGACCGACGGAAUAGAACAAGGUAUGCUACUCUCUUCCUAAGAGAACCCUCUUAACUUCCCUAACUGAUAAAAGAAAAGCAAAGCAAUAAGGGACGGGAAGGGUGUAAAUUGGUCAACACAAGCCGAAAUCGAUAUAACCGCAGACCAGACCAGAAGAAAAGGGGCAAAAUAAGGCCAAAUUCAUAUACUGCAUGGAAAUACUGCUUUAAAAAAAAAACUCACUGGAGGAUUGUCUGGCGGGAGGAGGAGGAGAAGCGGUAGUUUGUCCUUGAAGCCGGAUUGUUUGGUCUAGAGGAGAGCUGACGUCACGCAGACAUCUGAGUUCCCGGAUGGUUGUGAGAGCGCCGGAAGGGAGAGAGCCGGAAAGAGAGUAAACAGGAAAGGGAAUCAGGGGAAGAAAUAAAGAAGAGAGGAAGCAAGGAAGUACCUAAGACCUAUGGCGGGGCAACCAUAGAGUCUUGGUGGACCGAGAAGUUAGGAUAAGCGGGUGCCGGCGGACUCUGAAAGGCGGUGAGAAAGGAGAAGAAACGAUAGGAGGGGAGUAAUACGUAUGAGACGGUGUCGAGGACGAGAAGUAGACGAUUCAACGGAGAGGUGAGCAGUGUGUGACGAGAGGACAGUCGACCCAGGCCCAGGCGGGAGGCGUGUGGAGGGAGACGGAGAGAGGCGAGGACGAGAAGCAGACGGAGGCGGCGGUGUUGCGGACGGGGAGAGCGAGGAAAGGAAGAAAGGAGGUGGAAUUCGAGGACGAGGACGAGGACGAGAAGCAGAGGGAGCGGGGUCUGCGGAAAGAGCGGUCGGUGGAAGGAAGAAGUAUAAGAAACAGAAGGAAGGAGGAGAAGUAAAUAAACGAGCUGGUCUGGAGUGGGACCGAAAUUAGAUAAGAUAAGAUAAGAUAAGAUAAGAUAAGAUAAGAUAAGAGGGAUAAGGAAGGAAUAAGAAGAGACUCUAUAAACUGAACUAAGAGGGAACUUGUAAGAAAAGAGUAAGAAAAGAGGAGGAGGGUAAGAGAGAAAAGAAGAGGGAAGAGGAGGAGGAAGAAGAGAAGGGAGGUGAAGAAAGGUGGGGAGGAGGGAAGGGGAAAAGCUUUGUGAAUUGUGAAUUAAAUAUAUACACCACUUUUAUCUUCUAACAAAGCAAUCCUAUAGAGUUUACCGCCCUCCCACUGAUUAAGGGUGACACUUGGGAAAUAGGGGCAGUGACUCUUUAUCUGAUUUUCUCUCCCCCUUAACAGAUAAAUAGGAUCAAUUGGUACAGUAGAGGAUUAUUGUUAAAGAUCUAACAUUUAAAUUCGCCAUCGGACCGAGGAAAUAACAAAGAGAUUAGAACAUCGAAUAAAGAUGACCACCCCAAAAAUGAAGAUGGAGGAUAAAAAAUCUGCCUCAAGGAGAGGGUCAAUCCCAGAAGAAGUAAACUUGAAAGAUGUAAUGAGAGAACUCCAGAGAAUUGUGGAUAAUCAAAAAACAUUUCAAGAUCAAAUGUUAACAAUGACAAAGGAUCUAACGGAAGAAUUCUCAGAAAUGAAAAAAAAGAUGAAGGGUCUGCAAGAAGAUAUCAGAGAUAUUAAAGAGGACAAUAAGAAACUAGAGAAAAUACAAGAUAAUUUCAAAUCUAAAUUAGAAAAAUUAGAAUUAAAAAAUGCUAAACUAGAAGAAAGACAGGAACUUCUAGAAAGGAAAGAAGUAGAAUAUCAAAUUAGAAUAAGAAGCAUAGUAGAAGAACCAAAGGAAAAUAUAAGACAAAUUGUUACUCAAAUUCUAGCAGACCUACUACAAAUUCAAGACGAAGAAAUGGAGAACAGCCUAGAGCGAACAUUCAGAGUUACCACUAGCUUUUCAAAGAGAAACAAAGUACCUAGAGAUGUGGUGGUCCAGUUUGAUAAAAGGAGGACAAGAGAAGAAGUAUUGAGACUUAGUAAAAAAAAUACGAUUAGGUUCAAAGGAACGAAGGUAACAAUCCUCAAAGAAUAUUCGUCAAGUUCGAUGCAAAAACGGAAGAAAUACCUCUUCCUCACGGAAGAACUUAAGAGACGACAAAUCAGAUUCAGGUGGGAAAGAAAAGAAGGUAUCAUGACCACCUACAAGCAAGAACAACACUGGAUUACAACUGAAGAAAAAGCAAAAGACUUUUAUAAAAUGAUAAUGAAGGAAAAAACAAAACCCAACCCAACCAUCAGCCCACUGGAAGAAGAACGAGAAAGAGAAAAGAAAAGAGCAAGAGCUACCUCCCCGGAAAAAUUUACUACCAAACUCGGAUCACAGCCGCCAAACCUAAUAGAUUUAGAAGAACUAGAAGGAAAAGAAGACUAAAAAGAUAGUAUGGAAUUAAAAUGUCACUCAAAUAAUAUUAACGGACUAAAUUCACCUAAUAAAAGAAACAGACUAUUCAAUCACCUAAAGAAGUCGAGAUUUGAUUUAAUCGCCCUCCAAGAAACCCAUAUCAGCCACAGACACUCCGCACUGUUAUCCCAAAAAAGAUUAGGUAUAGAAUUUUCUUCCUCUGCUAGGGAAAAAAAAGGGGGGUGGUCCUAUACAUUAACGAGAAAUUAAACCCGUCGCUAGCCUUUAAAGAUGAUGAUGGUAGAUGGGUGGCGGCAAAAAUUAGGUUACAUAGCCAGACAAUUCUAAUUUGCAACAUAUAUGCACCAAACGGUUCCAAAAUAAUUUUCCUCGAAAAAUUAAAAAAGGAAAUAGAGGAGCAAGAAUAUGAUGAUUUGAUAAUCUUAGGAGAUUUCAAUGGAAUAAUUGACCCAGAAAUAGAUAAAAAAGGAGACCCAUCAAACAUAGAAAGGAAAGGGAAAAGAAAAUGGAUAUCAGGAAAACUACCAAAGAAGCUUAGGGAGGCUCUGUACGAUUGGGAAUUAAGAGAUGCAUGGAGGGUGCUUCAUGAGAGAGAAAGAGACUUUACCUACUUCUCAAGCAGACAUUAUUGUUGGACCAGAAUAGAUAUGGUGUGGAUGACCUCCUCACUGAUCCUUAAAUUAGGAAAAAUAAAAAUUCUUCCCCGUUAUAUCUCGGACCACUGUCCAAUAGAAUUCACAAUAAAUAAGACAAGGAGAAAUUUUAAUUGGAGACUCAAUGGAAAUCUUAUCAAAUCAGAAGAAGAUAUCAUAAAAAAUAAAAAAAUUCUUAGAGAAUAUUUUGAAUUAAACAAUACAACAGAUGUCCCCCUUCAAAUAAUCUGGGAUGCGAGUAAGGCAUACAUGCGAGGACAUUUUAUUCAACAAUCUGCCCUGAAAAACAAAUUAAAAAACGAGACAAAGAAUAAAAUAUAUGAAAAUAUUACUUCAAAUGAGACUAAACUAAAACAGGAUCCAAACAAUGAGAAAAUAAAACGAGAUCUGGAAGCACUGAAAAAACAAAUGUCCUUCAUAGAUUUGGAGGAAACGGCCAAAAAAUUGAAAUUUCUCAAACAGAGAGAAUUUCAAAAUGCCAACAAGCCGGGAAAAUGGCUGGCCUGGAAAAUUAAUAAGAAAAAACAGGAUAGAACUAUAAUGGAAAUAAUCUCGGGGGAAAACUCAUAUACAUCAGAAGAGGAGAUAGCAGCAGAAUUUAACAAAUUUUACAGCAAAUUAUACUCAAAAGACCAAAUCAGAAAAGAUAAAAUAGGGGAAUUUCUUAGUAAGCAAAAUUUAGUGAAAUUAUCAGAAAGGCAGAGAGAAUUCCUAAACAAAGAAAUAACGGAGAAAGAAAUCCUAAAAGUGAUAAAUAAUAUGGAGUGUAACAAAGCCCCCGGGCCAGAUGGACUGAAUGGACUGUAUUAUAAAACCUUCGCGGAAGAAGUGAUUCCAUUUUUAAAGAAAAUCAUGAAUGAUGUUAUGGAAAACAAAGAAGUACCAGACUCUUGGCGUUAUGCCACGGUAACAGUCAUUCCAAAGGAAGGUCAAGACCCCAAAAAUGUUAAAAGCUAUAGACCCAUAUCCUUAUUAAAUUCGGAUUAUAAAAUAUUUACAAACAUACUUGCAGAGAGAAUGAAGAUAUUUCUGAUGGAAUGGAUAGGAGAGGAGCAAACCGGUUUCCUGCCCCAAAGGCAAAUGAGAGACAAUGUGAGAGAGAUCGUAAAUAUAAUUGAGCACUAUGAAUGUAUAAAAAAAGAAGAAUUGGCUUUGCUAACAAUUGAUAUGGAAAAAGCUUUUGAUAAUUUAAAUUGGGAUUUUUUCAAAUUACUGAUAAAAGAAUUAGAUAUGGGAUAUAAAUUUACCAAUGCGAUCAACCAAAUAUACAAUAAGCAAGAGGCUAAAGUAAAAACAAAUUCCCUCGAAUCCCAAUAUUUCAAAAUUCAGAAAGGAACAAGACAGGGUUGCCCGUUGUCUCCUCUUCUGUUCAUUUUUUCGAUAGAGAUUCUAUUAAACACAAUUAGAAAUGAUCCCCAAUUAAAAGGUACAAACAUUAGGAAAUACAAUUACAAAAUCAGGGCUUUUGCAGACGAUUUAAUCUGCAUAAUAGAGGACCCAAUAAAGACAAUAAAUCUAUGGAUGUCCAAAUUUAAGGAUUUUGAAGGAAUCACAGGAUUAAAAAUAAAUACAGACAAAACUAUGAUAUUAACUAAAAAUAUGACAGACUCCAGACAAAAAGAAUUGACAGAAAAAACGGGUAUCCAAACCAGGAAAAAGAUCAAAUAUUUAGGUAUAUAUUUAACGGCUAAAAACUCUCAACUCCUGGAAAACAACUAUGAUAACAAAUGGAAAGAGAUCAAAAAGGACCUAGAGAAAUGGAAACAGCUUAAACUUUCGCUGCUAGGGAGGGUAUCAGCAAUAAAAAUGACCAUAUUGCCUAAAAUGACAUUUCUGUUUCAAAAUAUCCCAAUUAUUAGGAGUACUCAAAGAUUUAAGAAUUGGAACAAGGACCUGAGUAAGUUUAUUUGGAGGGGGAAGAAACCUAGAAUAAAAAGAAUAUAUUUGACAGACGAGAAAAAAAGAGGUGGAUUGGGUCUUCCUAAUCUCCAACUUUAUCAUGAUGCAUGUGGGUUAUCUUGGAUCAGAGAUUGGGCCACACUUCAGAAAACAAAAAUUAUAACGUUAGAAGGGGCGGACUUAAGAUCAGGGUGGCAUGCCUACUUAUGGUACAAUAAAAAAUUAAUAGAGAAAAAUUUUGGAAAUCAUUUUAUUCGAUCCUCGUUGCUGAAAAUUUGGGACAAAUACAAAAGAAGAUUACACUCAAAGACCCCAUUAUGGAUCUCCCCACUUGAAGCGCAUCAGAGAAAGGAAUUAGGGAGAGAAAAUUGGCCAAGAUAUAAAGAUAUUCUAAUUAAGGUGAACAAUAUCUACAAGGUUAAAAGUCAGGAAGAACUGAACAAUCAAUUUACAAACAUUGGCUGGUUCCAAUACAAUCAGAUAAAAGAAUAUUAUAAUAAGGAUAAUAAUCUAGGAUUUGAGGACAAGGAGGGUUACUGGGACAUGAUCAUGAAAUCUGAAAGAAAAACGAUAUCAAAACUUUAUAAAAAACUAUUAGAAUGGGAUACAGAAACGCACCAAGUAAAGGACUGUAUGUCAAUGUGGGCAAAAAAUUUUGGAAAACCGAUUCAAUUAGUAGAUUGGGAAAAAAGUUGGAAUACAAGGCUCAAAUUCACAUAUGCAACGGAUUUGAAGGAAAAUUGGGUUAAAAUGUUUUAUAGAUGGUAUUGGACACCACAGAAAAUUGCCAAAUUCAAUAAGAGAGCAUCAAAUAAAUGCUGGAAAUGUGGUAUAGAAGUUGGGACAUUCUACCAUUGUUGGUGGACAUGCAAAAAAGUGAAAACCUAUUGGAAAGAAAUACAUUGGAGAAUCCAAAAGAUGUUGCAAAUUAGAAUAGACCUGAAUCCAAAAUAUUUUCUCCUGGGGAUGUUAGAUAUAGAUAAAGAUAGAAAUAAGGAGAUCUUAUUUAAUUACCUAAGCACCGCAGCUAGAAUGAACCUGGCGAGAUUCUGGAAGGAGAAGGAGAUGCCGGGGAUAAAAGGAUGGAUAAAUAAAGUCUGGGAGAUUAUGAGUAUGGACAAAUUAACAUAUUUACUACGGAAUAAUCAUGGCAAACCAAUGAAACAGACAAAUUGGGAAAUGGUCAAAAGCUAUCUGAGGGAAGAAAAAUAUAAUGUGAUGAUUUAGAAUAGAGAGUAAGACAAUAAAUACAAAAUACCGAGUUAGGUGUUUUAAAAUGAUACAAUAAAGCAGAGACACUAGAAAAAAAGUGUCCGUAGGACUACGACAGGGUUUAGAAUAAACUAAGAAUUUCACUAGAUACUGUGCAAAGAUGGAAGUCAAUGUUACUUUUAAUCGGUGUGGUGGUUGGUUUUUCCCAUGUUUAUUUUAAGUUUAUCUAUUAUUACUCUGUUAGUAUUUCAAUUCCCCAACUUCCCCUCACUGUCUCGGGCUUAUGUAUUUUUGUUUUAUCGCUGUACUUUCCCCCCUUUUUUUUCCCCCUCUUCCCCUUUUCCUGUCGUUCUUUUUUUACUUUGAUUGUGAAAAACUUCAAUAAAAAUUAAUUAAAAAAAAAAAAGAAUGUUUGCCACUGUGUAUUUGUUGUAAGCCACUCUGAGUCCCCUUGGGGAGAUAGGGCAGGCUAUAAAUAAAGUUUCAUUAAUGCAAAUGUGCAAUAGGAUCUGUCGCUUCCUUCCCAUUGACAUCAGACUGGCCUCUUCCCUCCUGGUCUUCAGGAAAAAGCUAAAGACCUGGCUUUGGAACCAGGCAUUUGGGGAGUAGUACAAUUGGGAAUUUGACUUAAAUGUAGUGGAAAAAAGAUGAUUAUGGGACUAGGCAGUAUGCUUUAAUUCUGUUUUAAUUGUAUCUGUAUGUUCUGUUUUUAUUGCUCAAUGUGUUAUAUUCAUAUUUGUAAUAUGGCAUUGAAUUUUGCUAUAACUAAGCCACUCUGAGUCCCCUUCAGGGUGAGAAGAGCGGGGUAGAAAUAUAGUAAAGAAAUAAAGAAAUAAAUUUUAUGUUGACUAACACAGUUAUGUCUGACUACAUCAUGAUCCUCCUCCCAGAGAGAAAUCCUAGCCAGAUUUUCACUAACAAUGGGACUUAGUUCAAAACUGAUAUCCUUUUGUACGUCCCCCAGUCUGCCCUGUAGGAUAGCAGAACUGGAGCAGUGAUGCUAUCUGCAACCUCCAAGUUCCUUCUUCCCUGUUUAAAUUGCAUUCCUGUCUGCAUUGUCCUCUUCAAUAAAACUACAAUAGCAGCAGUGGCAGGAGGGGAGUAUUUGGUGGAUGUGACUGGUGUACGUCCACUAGAUCACCUAGAAAGCCUCCAAGGGCUGCUUGAACUAAUGUUGUUUUACAUUAAAAUGAAGUAAUGGUGUACUGGUGUGUCUGUGUUAUGACUGGACAUAAAUUCUAAUUAAAAAGACCUUUGGAUUUUUUAACAAUGUGGAAAAGUGGCAGGGAUGUUUUGCAUCAGGGAUGGGAAUUAUAUAGCCCUAAAGAUGGUGUUGGAUUAUAUCUUCCACAGCCAAUAAUUAGGAAUAAGAGGAGAUGGGCUAGAGAAGGAUUAAAAGGAUCUUUUCUCCAUUUCAGUGGUUCAACCAACCGCAGUGCCUUUAAAUGUUCUGUUUAUCAUUUCUGUAUUUUUAAUUGACUCAAAAGAGGGUAGGACACAAAUGGAACAGCAGUCUUUAAAUAAUUAAAAGCCACUAAUCUUCCAGAAAUGCCAGAAGGUGCCCCAGUAACAUCACAUGAUGUGAUGUCUCCCAUCACCUGUAAAUAAUAAGGAUCAUGAUGUUCAAAUGCAAACAGCUAUAUGAAUUUAUUGUUUUGUUGUAGGAGUUAUCAGGGAUGAAAGCAGAUGGUAUUGGUUGCUAUGAGAUUUAUUUAAAGAAGCAAUAUUGGGAAUGUUCUUCAUAUCAAAACAUUCAUAUUUCCUUUUUUCAAAAUUAAGAUGCAUAUUUUAAUCAGUUUUCUCAGUAGGUAGAGUGAACCAAUCCACCUGGACUUGAUCACUAUGAUGAAGUUAAGAAUUAAGGAUCUCCCUCCAACAUUUGAACAAUAAUUCCAAUACAGAUAGGAUCAAUAUCCAAAGCUACAAUAAUCUAAUUAUCAGUUUCCCAGCAGUUUGCAAAGCAUUGGACCUGGAACAAUGAUAUAAUAAUUAAUUCCAUACUGUAGCAAAGGAUUGUGAGGAAUGUGGAGUUGUAGAAGCCUAAAACAAAAAUUUCAUCUCUCAACUAAGUAGAUGAUGUUUUGUUUUUCAAUUAUGUUGCUAGCAAUUUGGUAUAUUUUAUGCUCUUACCAAUUUAAAUUAUAUUGUAAAUGGCUUUAGGGGAAAAUCUUUGGCAGAUAUGUUUGUAUUCUGAGAAAACUAGUGAGACUAAAGAAAAUGUUUGAAUUAUUCCUUAAUAGCUAGAGCAUCCCUUAAUGAUGUCGACUAAUCUCAUACCUGACUUUUUCCAACUUUAAUCAAAUCAUGUCUUCAGUAGUUAAGGGAAGAAACCUAAAAGAGCCUCGCUUCAUCUCUUCCUGGAAAGCAUGCUCUGCAUUUUCUCCAUUGCUUCACACAUUGUAGGACUGAGAUGGCUCAUCUGAAGGUUUCCAUGACAUAUACCAGCAUAUUUUUUUCCAGGUUGAAAAAGAAAAGAGGUUGAUAUAUGUGUUUCUUUUGGUGGAAAAAACCUCUGUCAAAAAUUCAUCAUGGUGCAUCACAACAUUUGAGGAAAAAGUAUUGACAACUACAUGUCAGGGCUUCCUAGGACAGCUAGGAAGUAGUAGGAAUUGACUUUGCCCCUUUGUCAUCAUCAUAACACAGCAGAACGGACAAGAAGACUUCUAUAACUAACUACACAUCAUGAUGGAAAUGUGUCCACAGAAAUUGUUGCUGGCUUGGAGCAAGCUUAAUAGCACUCUGAAAAGAGGAGGAAAAGAUUUCAGAGAUAAAUGGGACACGCAGAAUCUGCUGCCUUUAAUAUUUCAUUCGGUGAUAAUGAAUUAUUGCUUAGAAGCUAGAAAGUAACAGAAGAGGGAAGAGUGGGUCAGAAAUUUUCAGUUAGAGAUGCUUUGUGGUAAUGUGAUUUUUUUGACUGAAGAUCUUUGAUUAACACCAGGAUGAGUACCUGAAAAGAAUGGAGAAAAACUGCCGAGACGACUACUACCAACUCCCUGAAAUGUACAGUACUCAUCUUGAACCUGCUACAAGAAGUUCACAUGACGUAGUAGGAGUUCUCCAGCAGAACUGCAGUUUGAAGUCUUUCAUCCAUUAUAAGAAGAACCAGGGUUUAUUCCAGAACUUUCUGGAAGUUCUGAAGUGAUGACCAAUGUUUUUGAUCUGUGGAUAGCUUCAUCAGACUAUCUUCUACGAUCUAGUAUCCACUUAUCAAAAAGACUGACUGCUCCUUGGUAGAAGCCUACUUUUCUGAUGAUCACACCACUGGACACCUAAUUGUUUUGCUUCUGCUGGAAAAAACAACAGUGACAAUACCCAGGGUAACAAGAUACUGGUGCCAAUGCAUUGUUGAACCAGCUGGCCAUUCAGAUUGCAAAAGGACUUUGAGGCAUUUCCACGCUGGCCAGAGGCAAUAAUGGGUUUCUGAGGAUGCCUGCCGUAGAUGUGGGUGAAACAUCAGGAGAGAAUGCUUCUGGAACAUGGCCAUACAGCCAGGAAAACUCACAACAACCCAGUGAUUCUGGCCAUGAAGGCCUUCGACAACAAAUAGUGGGUUUGCAUGCACUUGAGUUUAUCAUGCCAUUUGGAGCAAAAUGGGGGCUAGAGUGGCAACAUUGUGAAUCAAAAUCAAAUUGUUCUUGCAGUAGCAACAAGGCCAGGCGGUGAGCCUUCUACAAGCCUCAGCUAAGAUAUAAGGCAUGGACAAACUCUCAAGACUACAUGAAAUGCUAUCCCUUAGAAAGAAUAGGAACUGCUGUAACUAGCAGGCAUAUUUUACUGCCUACCUGGCUGCUAGAAUUUUCUGCCAAGAGCUCCAGAGGAGGAGUGUGCGAAAAGACAAGACAUUACAAAAGCUUGUCCCUCGAGUUUGGUCCCGCAGUUGCUGGGAGUGAAAUGCUGCUGACCUAGUAUUCCAGAAGAGAUGCUUGGAUUGCUGUAACAAGCUCUGCAGAAAAAAGAGGCUUCUUUUCAAUAAGUCUUUUUUUAAGAGCAGUAUUUUAAUUUUCCUUUUGUGGAUAGCUGACAUAAACCAGUUUUGCUGAUCUUAGUUAAAAACAGAGUUUGUUUUCACAUUUCCUGCUGAUGUAACUUGAUCUAAUCGACGGUAGCUGGGCUGACUUUUGAGAAGCAAAGGAGAGAGCUUAAAAUAAAUUAAAGUUGUUCUUUUUUUCAUGCCUCCUGGCACAACGCUCACUGGAACAGGCAAAGGCAACUCCCUUUGGUCAGCUGAGUUUAUGAUACAGGGAAACACACACAGGUGUUUUGAAACUCUGAAAACCUGUUUUUCAAGAAUGGCCCAUCAUUAGCAUGAUCCAGACUUCCUCCUUGACAGAUAUCAUCUACUUUAUUUAUUCAGCUGAAAAGGAGACAAUAUGUGGUUGCAAUUAUGUUCCCUUGAAUUAAGUUCUUUUACACAAAUAGUGGCAGUGGAAAAGAUCCUUUGGAGGUGAUGAAGGAGGCUUCUCUGAUCAUAAGGAUCAGUGGUUUCAGUGACUAACUGGGUUUGGAGACUGAACUAGAAUGGACUGGACAAAAAAUAUUGUUGAACUGUAUAAUUUGAGAACAGAACUAACCAUCUAGAUGGAGCGCAGUGGAUGUACAAUGUCCAGGUCCUCGUGCCAGCCUGUAUCCCACCCCAAAUCCCCACCACCACCACCCCGAAAUAUUUAUGCAUGCAUCUGUGUCUUCAAGUCCCCUGUUGCCAUGGUGACCCCAUGCAUUUCAUAGGGGUUUCUUAUGUAAGAAAUACUCAGAGGUGAUUUUUGCCAAUUCCUCCUUCUGAAAUAAAGCUUACAGUACCUGCUAUUCAUUAACAGUCUUCCAUCCAAGUAGUAACAGAACAGACCCUGCUUAGCUUCCAAGAUCAGACAGGAUCUGAUGUCUUUGGGAUAUUUAGACAUUAUGUCCAGAGAACUGAGAGCAAUUAACAGACUCAAAUAGCAUUAACAUUCUUCUUAUAGAGAGUGAGUGAGCAGUAGAGAGAGUUUUUGUACCUUGAAUGGUUGUAUAGAAGAGAAUUUCAGCAGGUGUUGCUUGUUACCUGGUUGCAUGAUAGGAAACAUCUGCUGGCAUCUAUCUUCUGUACUACCAUGAAAAAUACAAAAGCCCUCUCCAGUUCUCAACUAUACCUCUUCCAACAGUGAGAUUUUUAAAAAGCAACACUGCAUUUUCUGUACAUAGGCCUAAUUUUCAAAGUGUAGAAGAUCUUGGCCUCGAGAGCUUUUGCAAAUAAUAGUCCCAUAAGCAGCUGUUCAAAGAUCUACUAAUUUUUUUCAAAAAGAAUUGUAUGAAAAAGCUGUAAUGGGAAAGACAACCUCACUUUUCCUCACUUUCCUGUUUUGAAGGAUUCUUCACGGUCAGAAA